AGGAUGAACGCUGGCGGCGUGCCUAAUACAUGCAAGUCGAGCGCCCUGGACAUUGCGCAUUAGCGAAAGCUAGUGAACAGUGUCUAGGGAGCGGCGGACGGCUGAGUAACGCGUAGGAACGUACCCCAAAGUGAGGGAUAAGCCCGGGAAACCGGGUCUAAUACCGCAUAAUAUCUCCGGAUUAAAGCUUCGGCGCUUUGGGAGCGGCCUGCGUAUGAUUAGUUUGUUGGUGAGGUAAUGGCUCACCAAGACUACGAUCAUUAGCUGGUCUGAGAGGAUGACCAGCCAGACUGGAACUGAGACACGGUCCAGACUCCUACGGGAGGCAGCAGUAGGGAAUUUUCCGCAAUGGGCGCAAGCCUGACGGAGCAACGCCGCGUGCAGGAGGAAGGCCUUCGGGUUGUAAACUGCUUUUAUUGGUGACGAUUUUGACGGUAGCCAAUGAAUAAGGACCUGCUAACUACGCGCCAGCAGCCGC
rnacentral:rRNA from 1 species